rnacentral:rRNA from 1 species
GAUGAACGCUGGCGGCGUGCUUAACACAUGCAAGUCGAACGAAGCACUUCUUUUGAUUUCCUGCGGUCCUGAGUAUUUUGUGACUGAGUGACGGACGUGUGAGUAACGCGUGGUUAACCUGCCUUGUACAGGGGGGGAACAGUAGGAAACAGCUGCUAAUACCGCAUAGGCGCACAGCAUCGCAUGCUGCAGUGUGAAAUGCUCCCGUGGUAUAAGAUCGACGCGGGUUGGUUUAGGCAUUUGGUGAGGUAACGGCAUACCAAGGCGGGGAGACAUAGCCGACCUGAGAGGGGGACACGCUACAUCGGGAAUGAGACACGGCCCACACCGCUACGGAGGGCAGCAGUAGGGAAUACUGCACACUGGACGAAAGCCUGAUGCAGCGACGCGGCGGGAGAGAAGAAGUAUUUCGGAAUGCAAAGCUCUAUCAGAAGGGACGAUAAUGACGGUAACUGACUAAGAAGCACCGGCUAAAUACGUG